rnacentral:lncRNA from 1 species
GUACGGAUAUGUAUAUGUUGGAUCUAAUAGGAAAGACGGGCACACAAUCAAAGAGCCCGACAAGGUAGCAGCGGAAAAUACCAAGACUAAACUUUUCCUUUCAACUUGAACCAAGAGGAGAAAAAUAAACCCAAGAAAAAUAGAGUAAUAUACAGCAAACAACUCAACCAAAUGAAACAAGACAAGAAUAAAGGCAAUCAUACGAGACACAAGAUUUAUGUGGAAAACCCAUCAGUGUG